GCCAGACUCCUACGGGAGGCAGCAGUGAGGAAUAUUGGUCAAUGGGCGAGAGCCUGAACCAGCCAAGCCGCGUGAAGGAAGAAGGCGCCAAGCGUCGUAAACUUCUUUUGUCGGGGAACAAAGGGCGCCACGUGUGGCGUUGUGAGUGUACCCGAAGAAAAAGCAUCGGCUAACUCCGUGCCAGCAGCCGCGGUAAUACGGAGGAUGCGAGCGUUAUCCGGAUUUAUUGGGUUUAAAGGGUGCGCAGGCGGAAGAUCAAGUCAGCGGUAAAAUUGAGAGGCUCAACCUUUUCGAGCCGUUGAAACUGGUUUUCUUGAGUGAGCGAGAAGUAUGCGGAAUGCGUGGUGUAGCGGUGAAAUGCAUAGAUAUCACGCAGAACUCCGAUUGCGAAGGCAGCAUACCGGCGCUCAACUGACGCUCAUGCACGAAAGUGUGGGUAUCGAACAGGAUUAGAUACCCCGGUA
rnacentral:rRNA from 1 species